UACGUAGGGUGCAAGCGUUAAUCGGAAUUACUGGGCGUAAAGCGUGCGCAGGCGGUUUUGUAAGUCUGUCGUGAAAGCCCCGGGCUCAACCUGGGAAUUGCGAUGGAGACUGCAAGGCUUGAAUCUGGCAGAGGGGGGUAGAAUUCCACGUGUAGCAGUGAAAUGCGUAGAUAUGUGGAGGAAUACCGAUGGCGAAGGCAGCCCCCUGGGAUAACACUGACGCUCAUGCACGAAAGCGUGGGGAGCAAACAGG
rnacentral:rRNA from 1 species